GACGAACGCUGGCGGCGUGCUUAACACAUGCAAGUCGAACGGAAAGGCCCUGCUUGCAGGGUACUCGAGUGGCGAACGGGUGAGUAACACGUGGGUGAUCUGCCCUGCACUUCGGGAUAAGCUUGGGAAACUGGGUCUAAUACCGGAUAGGAGCCAUCUUUAGUGUGGUGGUUGGAAAGUUUUUUCGGUGUAGGAUGAGCUCGCGGCCUAUCAGCUUGUUGGUGGGGUAAUGGCCUACCAAGGCGGCGACGGGUAGCCGGCCUGAGAGGGUGUGCGGCCACAUUGGGACGGAGAUACGGCCCAGACUCCUACGGGAGGCAGCAGUGGGGAAUAUUGCACAAUGGGCGCAAGCCUGAUGCAGCGACGCCGCGUGGGGGAUGAAGGCCUUCGGGUUGUAAACUCCUUUCGCUAGGGACGAAGCUUUUUUGUGACGGUACCUAGAUAAGAAGCACCGGCUAACUACGUG
rnacentral:rRNA from 1 species